CCUACGGGGCGCAGCAGUGAGGAAUAUUGGUCAAUGGGCGAGAGCCUGAACCAGCCAAGUCGCGUGAAGGAUGACGGCCCUACGGGUUGUAAACUUCUUUUGUCAGGGAGCAAUUGAGUCCACGUGUGGGCUUAGCGAGAGUACCCGAAGAAAAAGCAUCGGCUAACUCCGUGCCAGCAGCCGCGGUAAUACGGAGGAUGCGAGCGUUAUCCGGGUUUAUUGGGUUUAAAGGGUGCGUAGGCGGAAUAUCAAGUCAGCGGUAAAAAUUCGGGGCUCAACCCCGUCGUGCCGUUGAAACUGAUGUU
rnacentral:rRNA from 1 species